UACAGAGGGGGCAAGCGUUGUUCGGAAUUACUGGGCGUAAAGGGCGCGUAGGCGGCCUUCUAAGUCGAACGUGAAAUCCCCGGGCUCAACCCGGGAACUGCGUCCGAUACUGGAAGGCUUGAAUCCGGGAGAGGGAUGUGGAAUUCCAGGUGUAGCGGUGAAAUGCGUAGAUAUCUGGAGGAACACCGGUGGCGAAGGCGACAUCCUGGACCUGUAUUGACGCUGAGGCGCGAAAGCCAGGGGAGCAAACGGG
rnacentral:rRNA from 1 species